GGAGCGAGCCCUGUGUGCUCUGAGGGCAGCACUGUGUCCGGGCUGUGAUGCUUCUGCCCAGGCGCUGCCUGCUGCUGCUCGGAGCACAUGGCUGCGUGCUCU
ensembl:miRNA gga-mir-1785 gga-mir-1785